rnacentral:rRNA from 1 species
UACGAAGGGGGCUAGCGUUGCUCGGAAUCACUGGGCGUAAAGGGUGCGUAGGCGGGUCUUUAAGUCAGGGGUGAAAUCCUGGAGCUCAACUCCAGAACUGCCUUUGAUACUGAAGAUCUUGAGUUCGGGAGAGGUGAGUGGAACUGCGAGUGUAGAGGUGAAAUUCGUAGAUAUUGGCAAGAACACCAGUGGCGAAGGCGGACUCACUGGCCG